CCUACGGGAGGCUGCAGUGAGGAAUAUUGGUCAAUGGGCUUACGCCUGAACCAGCCAAGUCGCGUGAGGGAAGACUGCCCUAUGGGUUGUAAACCUCUUUUGUCAGGGAGCAACGCCGGCUACGUGUAGCCGGACUAAGAGUACCUGAAGAAAAAGCAUCGGCUAACUCCGUGCCAGCAGCCGCGGUAAUACGGAGGAUGCGAGCGUUAUCCGGAUUUAUUGGGUUUAAGGGUUGCGUAGGCGGAAUGUCAAGUCAGCGGUCAAAUCGCGGGGCUCAACCUCGCUCCGCCGUUGAAACUGGCGUUCUGGAGUGGGCGAGAAGUAUGCGGAAUGCGUGGUGUAGAGGUGAAAUGCAUAGAUAUCACGCAGAACUCCGAUUGCGAAGGCAGCAUACCGGCGCCCAACUGACGCUGAAGCACGAAAGCGUGGGUAUCGAACAGGAUUAGAUACCCUAGUAGUC
rnacentral:rRNA from 1 species